AGUGAACGCUGGCGGCGUGGAUUAGGCAUGCAAGUCGCGCGAACCCGCAAGGGUUAGCGGCAAACGGGUGAGUAAUAGAUGAACAAUCUGCCCUUAAGUCAGGCAUAGCUUCGUGAAAACGGAGGUAAUUCCUGAUAAGGUCAGCGAAGCGCAUGCUUUGCUGAUUAAAGGUGGGGACCGCAAGGCCUACCACUUAAGGAUGAGUUCGUCUCCUAUCAGCUAGUUGGUGAGGUAACGGCCCACCAAGGCUUAUGACGGGUAGCUGGU
rnacentral:rRNA from 1 species